rnacentral:rRNA from 1 species
UAGCCGUAAACGAUACUCGCUAGGUGUCGGCCACGGUGCGACCGUUGUCGGUGCCGUAGGGAAGCCGUGAAGCGAGCCACCUGGGAAGUACGGCCGCAAGGCUGAAACUUAAAGGAAUUGGCGGGGGAGCACAACAACGGGUGGAGCUUGCGGUUUAAUUGGAUUCAACGCCGGAAAUCUUACCGGGACCGACAGCAACAUGAAGGCCAAGCUGAAGACUUUGCCGGAUUAGCUGAGAGGAGGUGCAUGGCGUCAGUGACU